rnacentral:rRNA from 1 species
UACGUAGGUGGCAAGCGUUUGUCCGGAAUUAUUGGGCGUAAAGCGCACGUAGGCGGAUUGCUAAGUCAGGGGUGAAAUCCUGGAGCUCAACUCCAGAACUGCCUUUGAUACUGGCGACCUUGAGUCCGGGAGAGGUGAGUGGAACUGCGAGUGUAGAGGUGAAAUUCGUAGAUAUUCGCAAGAACACCAGUGGCGAAGGCGGCUCACUGGCCCGGUACUGACGCUGAGGUGCGAAAGCGUGGGGAGCAAACAGGG